rnacentral:lncRNA from 1 species
GAGCUUACAAAGGAAUGAGCAAGAGGAAAGAAGAUUCUGGUCUCACUUAAAAUGGACUGCAGUACCUCCUCUGCUUGAAAUUCAAAGAAGCCAAGGCUAAGGCAUUCAUAGACAAGUGUUAUUUGUUUUUUCAAACAAACGAGAUUAAAUGAGAAAACCAAAUAAUGGAGAGAACCCGGCACAGAGCCAGAUGUACGGGAAAGAAGACCAGCAGGAAGAACCGUGAGAAACGCAGUAGCAGUAGGAAAGAAAGCAAGAGAUGAUUUGAGAUUCCUUUAGAGAUCAAUUGGAAAGACUGGAAAACUGCUUUCAUAUAGAAAGUUGGAGAUUAAACAAUCAUAAGUCAACUGAUAAGCAGGUGAUGGGAAAGGUUUGAAACUUUUAA